AUGAAAUGUUGAGGGGAAUGCUCGUCUGGUUCGAGACCAUUCUUCGACUUUUUAAGCACGUUGUGUCGAAUGAUCUCGGACCAGGCUUCAUUCCCCUCAACUUUUUCAA
rnacentral:pre_miRNA from 1 species